AGGUAGUGACUGCGCAUAAUGCCUCAACUAUCAAUGUAAAAAGAUAUUAUAAUUCAGCAGUUAAUAAGUUAACUAGCUCUUCAAUAACUGGAUUGAUCUCUGCUAGUGAUUUUCAGAUACUGUACUAGAUCAUAAGCAUUGGCAACUAGUACUUACUACCUUGCUGUCACAACAAGAGACAUGUCAAUACUUAUUAUCUGACUGUAACUACCUGAGUCAGACUAUAUCAC
rnacentral:sRNA from 1 species